AGCCCGUGCCAAAGCGACCCAAAUCGCCCUCUCAAGGCGGAGAUCAUCGGUUCGAAUCCGAUACGGGGUACCA
rnacentral:tRNA from 1 species